rnacentral:rRNA from 1 species
UACGGGGGGGGCAAGCGUUGUUCGGAAUUACUGGGCGUAAAGGGCUCGUAGGCGGCCAACUAAGUCGGAUGUGAAAUCCCCAGGCUUAACCUGGGAACUGCAUCCGAUACUGGAUGGCUUGAAUCCGGGAGAGGGAUGCAGAAUUCCAGGUGUAGCGGUGAAAUGCGUAGAUAUCUGGAGGAACACCCGGGGCGAAGGCGGCCCUCUGGCUCGACCCUGACGCUGAGGCGCGAAAGCGUGGGGAGCGAACGGG